rnacentral:lncRNA from 1 species
AUAUCAUAGGUGCUGCUGAUUGUAGGCAACUGUGAAUAAAGCUGCUAUUAAUAGCUGCAUUCAAGGUUUCAUGUAGAAAUGUUUUCAGCUCAUGUGAGUAGGUACAGAAGAGUGUGAUUGCUGGACCACACGGUAAGAGCACGUGUAGUUCUGUAAGAAACUGCCAAACUGUAUUGCGAGGGGGCUGCACCACUUCAGAAUACACCAGCAGCCGAUAAGCGUGAGUUUCCACCAGCAGUGGGUGAGUGUGAAUUUCCACCAGCAGGGGAUGAGCGUGAAUUUCCACCAGCAGUGGAUGAGCGUGAAUUUCCACCAGCAGGGGAUGAGCGUGAAUUUCCACCAGCAGCCAGUGAGCGUGAGUUUCCACCAGCAGGGGAUGAGCGUGAAUUUCCACCAGCAGGGGAUGAGCGUGAAUUUCCACCAGCAGGGGAUGAGCGUGAAUUUCCACCAGCAGCCAGUGAGCGUGAGUUUCCACCAGCAGGGGAUGAGCGUGAAUUUCCACCAGCAGGGGAUGAGCGUGAAUUUCCACCAGCAGUGGGAUGAGCGUGAAUUUCCACCAGCAGGGGAUGAGCGUGAAUUUCCACCAGCAGCCAGUGAGCGUGAAUUUCCACCAGCAGGGGAUGAGCGUGAAUUUCCACCAGCAGGGGAUGAGCGUGAAUUUCCACCAGCAGUGGUCUUCAAAACUCAAUUCCCCGAAGAACUGAGGCUUAGGCAGCAUUUUGAGAAGGGAACGGAGCUGCUUGUUGAAUGAGGGAUGCAAACACCAGGUGUGGCGACGGUGCGGCAUCCAUCCCUGAGGUGUCCUGCGCGUAAUUGCUUCGCCCUUCACACAAACCAGCCCAAGCUCCUCUUUCCGGGUCCCCUGAGCUUCUUCCAGGCGCUCAGCCCAGCGGCUGUCAUGGGACCCUGUGCCCCUGCACUGCUGACUACCGGUUUACGACAGGAAUGACCAGCUGUUUCAAGGAUGGGGCGAUGACAUUCAGGAAAGAAGAGACGCUCACCCGUAGGCCAGUGCUGGAAGGAGGUGCACCCCGCAGCAGGGCAGCUGUGUUAUGGCUUCCCUCCCCAGCGCUCCACUCCAGUGUCCUGGGGAUCACUCACUCCACUAAACUCCACGUUUCUCAUCUCCACAGUGGGAAUCAAACAAUACACUUGUUAAAGUGUUUGGAACAAUUGGAUACACAGCGCCCAAAGGCGUUGCUCAUGAAUGCUGGUCUGUGAGAACUCUUAUCAGCAGUAGCUCUGUUUCUGUGGCUGGGACUCUUCGCCAGAGCUACAAACUGCUGAACUGACAAACCGCGGGGAAGCUGGGAAGUCAGGGAAAUAUGACAACCCCUUUAACCAGAGUGUGAAAUCUCAAGGAACUCAGUGUUUUUUGUUUGUUUGUUUUUGUUUUUUGUUGUUGUUGUUGUUUUUGAGACAGAGUCUUGUUCUGUUGCCCAGGCUAGAGUGCAGUGGCGUGAUCUCAGUUCACUGCAGCCUCCGCCUCCUGGGUUCUAGUGAUUCUCCUACCUCAGCCUCCCCACUAGCUGGGAUUACAGGCACCCACCACCAUGCCCAGCUAAUUUUUUGUAUUUUUAGUAGAGACGGGGUUUGCCAUGUUGACCAGGCUGGUCUUGAACUCCCGACCUCAGGUGAUUCUCCCGCCUUGGCCUCCCAAAGUGCUGGGAUUAUGGACAUGAGCCACCGCGCCUGGCUGAGUGUUUUGUCUUUAAAACUAAAGCAAGACAGUGACUGGAUGUGGCCUUGGUUGAGUCUGUGGGUGCUCCUCAUCCAGGGACACUGUUACUAACUGGUUCUUCCCACUGUGUGGCCUGGAUACAGGGUCGUGGAACCUGAGGGGCCUAGCGGCCUGGAUUCAGGGUCGCGGAACCCGAGGGGCCCAGAAUUCAGUGUUCUGACACAAUUUCAAGUGAAAAAAAAUCAGAUGGUCUGAUAAAACCACAGUCAGGUUAAUCAUCGUGUGAGUUAAUACUCCUUAAUAAACUCCCCUUUAUAUACACAUCUAUCCUGUUAGUAUUGCCCCUCUAGAGAACCCUGGCAAAUACACGUUCUUUUCUGCAUGGAAAGGAGGUGGAGACGUGUGUUUGUGUGUGUAUCAUGCAUAUCUCCAGGCAUCUUGUCAACCUCCAGGCUGGAGAGGUAAAAAGUGAGGCGUUUUCUUUUUUUUCAAGUCCAAGAAGCUGUCAGCCCUUCCCCCGCUCCGGGUGCCAGCACCGCUAACGUCCGCAGUCCAGGACUUGUUUAGGCAGGAGCUGCUUGUUUUCCUGAAACUUGCCAAUUCCCUUCGGGUUAAAAAGCAAUCUUUGUGGAAUGACUGGCCGCAGUGGAUCCCACUCACAGGCCUCGAUUUUCUCUUAUGAAUGAAACCCCCAGAAGGCAAAGUUCAGCCUUCAGAGGGUGGGUGACCCUCAGGCAUGACAGUGGCAAAUGCCUUAGGAAACGCUUGUGUGCCCUGGAUUGUGAGAUUCUGCACCACCAAAUGUGUCAGCUCAGUUUCGCAAAUUAACAAGUAAAUCUCAUUCACGAGCACUCUGAGGCCCGGCCUGCGUGGGUGGCACGUGGGAGAUGGCAUGAAAUGCCAAGUACUUGCCCAAGAUUCAUGCAUUUGCCUAUUUCAGAGAGAAAGCACAGGCCACUUUUAAUCCUAGAUUGCCGAGGUGAGAGUGACUGUCAGUGUUGUGUGCAUUUGCUGUAGGGUCCAGAGAGGUGCAGAGGGAAGAAGGGCUUGCCUCAUGUCACAAGGACAAUUAUUGGCAAAGUGGAAAUAGAGCCCCUUCCAAACCAUGAACCAGGGACUGAUUUCAAGUUGCUUUCUGGGAAUUGUGUUGGCAUCUUAUAGACACUGGCUCCACUUUUCAGAAUAACUGUGUAAAAAAAUGCUUUAUACAAAUAAGAAAAUCAAGCUAAUAAGAAUUGCAAGACCUCCCUAGCUUGUGUACAAUUAUAAAUAGUAGAGACAAGGUACUCUUUCUGCCUGGCAUAUUUCCUUUGUGUUUUGAGAAAUUCAGAACACUGGGGUGCAUUAAAAAGUGACCUAAUUCAAAGAAAUCGUUGCUCACCCCUCUUUCUAUGAGGUGUAAAAGCAGGAGAAAGUGUCAUCAUUGUUUCUUGCAGUUGUUGGAUUGUAUGGAAGAGGACACUAUGGAAAACGGGAUGAGGCUGUUUGUUGACGUAGAAUAUUCAGGGGUGUUCGGGAAGGAAGUUCGGGUCGAGGAUGGACUUCCGGCUUCUUCCUCUGUGAAGGGGAAACCUCACCUCAUGUGUGAAGCCAUAUGUGAAUUCCCAAGAGGAAUGGAUCUCAGCUCCAGCUGCUUCACCACUCUUUAUAUAAGAAUGGAGGUGCUGCUUCUUUAAUGACUUUAUGAAUGUAAAUUUUAAAUACCUUUCUGCAAAUCAUCCACCUGUAAAAAAACUGUUCUUUGGUUACUUAAGUUGAGAAACUGCCACCCGGGGAUAUCGCAGCAUAGGCAGCCGCCGCAGAGAAGCAGCCACGAUCCACACAGAGGACUUGUGAGGAAGAAGGUGCGGGAGGCGGUAUUUCCUUCCUACAGAGAGGCCAACACUCGAAAUGUUCUAACAGCAGAUAAAAGUGCAGUUUUAUGAAUUAAAAAAAUGAAGCUGUUGCAGACAGAAUAACCAAGUACAAACAUAGUAAUUCAAGGAGAGACAGCCAGCUGGAAACAGGUGAGGGGUGACGGCAGGUGGAAUCAGGUGAUAGGUGAGGGCAGGUGGAAUCAGGUGAGGAGUGAGUCCGAGUGGAAUCAGAUAGAAACAGGUGAGGGGUGAGGCCAGGUGGAAUCAGGUGAGGGGUGAGGUUAGGCAGAAACAGGUGAAAUCAGGUGAGAAACGAGGACAGGUAGAAUCAGGUAGAUAAAAGGUGAGAGGUGAGGCCAGAUGGAGUCAGGUGGAAUCAGGUGAGGGGUGAGG